rnacentral:rRNA from 1 species
GGUAGUCCACGCCGUAAACGAUGUCGACUUGGAGGUUGUGCCCUUGAGGCGUGGCUUCCGGAGCUAUCGCGUUAAGUCGACCGCCUGGGGAGUACGGCCGCAAGGUUAAAACUCAAAUGAAUUGACGGGGGCCCGCACAAGCGGUGGAGCAUGUGGUUUAAUUCGAUGCAACGCGAAGAACCUUACCUACUCUUGACAUCCAGAGAACUUAGCAGAGAUGCUUUGGUGCCUUCGGGAACUCUGAGACAGGUGCUGCAUGGCUGUCGUCAGCUCGUGUUGUGAAAUGUUGGGUUAAGUCCCGCAACAAGCGCAACCCUUAUCCUUUGUUGCCAGCGGUUAGGCCGGGAACUCAAAGGAGACUGCCAGUGAUAAACUGGAGGAAGGUGGGGAUGACGUCAAGUCAUCAUGGCCCUUACGAGUAGGGCUACACACGUGCUACAAUGGCGCAUACAAAGAGAAGCGACCUCGCGAGAGCAAGCGGACCUCAUAAAGUGCGUCGUAGUCCGGAUUGGAGUCUGCAACUCGACUCCAUGAAGUCGGAAUCGCUAGUAAUCGUAGAUCAGAAUGCUACGGUGAAUACGUUCCCGGGCCUUGUACACACCGCCCGUCACACCAUGGGAGUGGGUUGCAAAAGAAGUAGGUAGCUUAACCUUCGGGAGGGCGCUUACCACUUUGUGAUUCAUGACUGGGGUGAAGUCGUAACAAGGUAACCGUAGGGGAACCUGC